rnacentral:rRNA from 1 species
GGCGAACGGGAGAGGAAGGGCGUCGGAACGUGCCGAGUAGUGGGGGAUAACGCAUUUGAAAGGUGUGCUAAUACCGCAUACGUACUGAGGUAGAAAGUGGGGGACCUUCGGGCCUCACGCUAUUCGAGCGGCCGACGUCUGAUUAGCUAGUUGGUGAGGUAAAGGCUCACCAAGGCGGCGAUCAGUAGCGGGUCUGAGAGGAUGAUCCGCCACACUGGGACUGAGACACGGCCCAGACUCCUACGGGAGGCAGCAGUGGGGAAUUUUGGACAAUGGGCGCAAGCCUGAUCCAGCCAUGCCGCGUGUCUGAAGAAGGCCUUCGGGUUGUAAAGGACUUUUGUCCGGGAGCAAAUGCCUGGUGUUAAUAGCACUGGGAGCUGAGAGUACCGGAAGAAAAAGCACCGGCUAACUACGUGCCAGCAGCCGCGGUAAUACGUAGGGUGCAAGCGUUAAUCGGAAUUACUGGGCGUAAAGCGUGCGCAGGCGGUUUUGUAAGCCAGAUGUGAAAGCCCCGGGCUCAACCUGGGAACUGCGUUUGGAACUACAAGACUAGAGUGUGUCAGAGGGGGGUGGAAUUCCCGCGUGUAGCAGUGUAAUGCGUAUAGAUGCGGAGGAACACCGAUGGCGAAGGCAGCC